rnacentral:lncRNA from 1 species
GUAUCGCGAGAUCAGGAAGGUGGCCGAGUGUGUCGCCGCGGCCAUCAGGCACUUCUCCUUCCUGCCCUUGUAUGAAGAAGGAUGUGUUUGCUUCCCCUUGUGCCAUGAUUGUAAAUUUCCUGAGGCCUCCUCAGCCCUGCAGAACUGGCUAGAGCAAUGUAUCUUAGGCUCACUUAAGGAAGCUGUAGAGAUGAGCCCAAGGAGGGAAACCAGAAGAGCCCCCCAGGCUCACCAGUUGUUUGUUGGCUCCCUACAAACAUGUCAUUCAAGUGGCUAAUCUUACAACAGCACAAAUUCAUCUAACCAGAGAUACUCUAUUAUAGCAAAGAAGAAAGAUAAUUUCAUUGAGCCAUCCUGUUUUACAGCACCCAACAGAAUCCCUUCAAAGCCUCGUGGUCUGACACCCUAUGCUACGUGACUUGUGACCCAUCCAUUUGUCAUGUUCUUCGGGAAUGUGGCUAAGGGGCUAAGAUGUGACUUGAAAAGAAAGGUAGAACAAGAUCAUCUCAAAUUUAUUAUCAAGGAAUAGUUCAGAAAACGACUUCAGACCACAGAGACAGCAGAACAGAUGGUCCGGCAUGGAUAGAGCAUCAGACACUCACAGACUGUGCCAACAAGAGCCAUCGAGUCAAAACAGCCAAAGGAAGGAGGGUCAUGGAAUGGGUUCUCUCACACCAAACUGAUGCCCAGAGGCCCUCAGCAUGAAUAACAAAGGCAACCAGACCCACAAGCCAUACUGAGUGGAUACAAAACCUAUACCUAGGCUGACAUCCCAAAUGUGUGUGGCAAGUUAGAUGAUGAUGGCACAAAAGACAGAACACCUUGCUUCUGGCCAUUGUCAGCUCUUGGAAGAGAGCACACUUUUAGAGGAGCAGCUGCAAGGAGCCUGAGAACAAAACUGGAAAUGUCUGUUAUGAAAGCCUUCACAGGAAAUUCUGCAAGUGGCAACGUGGGUCCAUUCCGUGUGUGUCACUAGAGCUGGCGCAAGCCCAUGGCCAUGGUGAGGCAGCGUUUCCACUGGAACUAAUCUGAUACCUGCACCAGCUCUUGCAACUGUGCAGUGUUCCCACUGCAAACUACGGAUGGGAGAGGAUAAAGAACUUCAAUCUUUAAAAAAGAGAGGAUUUUCCCUCCUGGUGAGUCAAAAUGAACAAGAAAUACCCCAGGACCUCCCUUCCCUCCUUGGCCAUUAAUGAGAUGAAGGCAAUUAACUCACAUAGUAUAAAUGAAUCAUUUGAGGUGAUGACUGCAUUUUAGGCAAAUGAUGACUUUCUUGGUUCCAUUGGUUUGCAAGUAAAAGUUACACACAUUGAAAAGACACUGAAACAGAUUUCCUAAAUGCUUCAUUUUCUGGAUGCACCAAUGUUGACCUACUAUACAUGUUAAAUGGUUUUAAAAUAUCACCUUAAAAUAAAGGAAACUUCCAGCUACUAACUCAGCUCUGAAUGGGCUAUGAAAGGCUCCAAAGGUAUGUGAAAAAUUACUGUUAUUUUGCUUUAAAAAAUGUGAUGUCUAAGAGUGUCUGCAAUGUUCUAAUGCUUCAAAACAUGUACGUAAGCCUUGUUUAUCUGGAAAUCAUUUCUUUCUGCUUAUAUCAUUUAUAAAUAGAAAAUGUUCUGUAAUAACUUAAAAUAGUUCCACAUACAUAAUGCUUUUAGUGUCAUAAUACUUACUACUGGUCUAUAUUUACCAACAUUUAUCACAUUUUACAAAAUGAAGUAGAAGAAAAAAAAGACAACGACUUUAUGGCCCUGGAAUUCCAGUAAUGGUGACCAACAUGUUUUAAAUUCCAGUA